rnacentral:rRNA from 1 species
UACGGGGGGAGCAAGCGUUGUUCGGAUUUACUGGGCGUAAAGGGCGCGUAGGCGGCCACCGCAAGUCGACUGUGAAAUCUCCGGGCUUAACUCGGAAAGGUCAGCCGAUACUGCGGGGCUAGAGUGCAGAAGGGGCAACUGGAAUUCUCGGUGUAGCGGUGAAAUGCGUAGAUAUCUGGAGGAACACCGGUGGCGAAGGCGGCAUCCUGGACCGACACUGACGCUGAUGAGCGAAAGCCAGGGGAGCAAACGGG